GGCUUAGUUGGUAAAGCACAAAGCUCUUAACCUUGUGGACGUGGGUUCAAGCCCCAU
rnacentral:tRNA from 1 species